ACUGCAUAUCCAUGUGCCAGAGUUGGGGUGCUGCUGAACGUGCGCACGUGCAGGGGUCGUUUCCAGAUCUCGAGAACGGCUGGACCGAUGGCGCUCAAAUGGUACACGGUUAGGGACCAGUAAGUAGGGUGCCGUGCACAAGUCAGUUGUGACCCAUUUUGCACGUGCGCACGUGCAGGGUGUCGCUCCCAGAGUAUACUGGUGUAUGAGGUGUACCAAAAACGGGAGCGCCGCCGUUUUUUAGAUAUUCGCAAAAAACCACAAGGGGGUGUUCAAACACCCCCCCCCCAGCAGGGCGCGGGUUAAUACUUCGAAAAGUACCCUGCCGGAUAUCUCGCAAUAGCGUUCAGUGCCCAAAAUAGCAGCGUGUCCACCAGCUGACGUCACCGGACGCCGCGCUGACGCAUCCGACGCCCACAACGCACGCUCCGAGGCCAUCAAUACAGCGGUGGCGACAAGAUGGCGGAGCAGCUGACGCCACGGACCGGUUUCGCCCACUCUCUUGUGGCUCUCAACCUUCUGGAGCAGCCCGGUUUCUUCUGGAAUUUUGUGAGUGGGUUUGAGGGCCGCUGGCACGGUCUGCAGCGGACUGUUCCGGUUCAGGCGGUUGCGUCAUGCGAUCGACGCUGCGUCACGACCCGCAGUCGAAGCGCCUCUAGCGGUCGUGGUCGGAAACGGUACUGCGCAAUAAUUUCCCACCAAUCACCAUCCGCCGUUUGGGCGACGCCGGCUGCUGAUUGGUUGGAAGGCUCGGGAGUGUGCUUGGCCCAGAUACGCAGAUAGCUGGGUUUCAGGAUCCCUCGCCAGAGCCGCCAUUCUCGUACCUGAACUCCGGCAGUGCGGUUGUGCUAGUGAUGGCUCCGUCUCGCUGCGAUUUAAGCUUAUUUGCUAGCUCUUUUUUCCAGAAGAUCAUAACCAUCAAGAUUUGCUUUUUGAGUUUUUGAGCUAACAUUUUGGUGUUUCAAUUUUAGUUGUGGUGUGUGAACUUGCAUUCAGUGUACCUGUAACGUAGCUUUUUUCUUCAUUAAGUUGUGAAGUGCAAGGCGCUAGGUCGGAUAAGUAUUUUGUUGAAAUACUUUCAAGUAAUCCUCUAAGUAUCCACAAGUAGUUAAGCCUCACUACUUUUCUUCAAAUGGUGGCUGCAAUCAGGUGUUGAGUGCUGUGACAAGGUCCUUGCAUUCAUUUCGUGUCAUCCGGGUGAUUCUUGAACGCCUUACUGCUAGGAAGUUGGUUGAAGUUCUUUUUACUUUCGAUGGACAUUUGCGCUCCUCCUAGGUUGGUCCUGUUAUGAAAGGCGUCGCCGGCUGGCACGCCACGUCAGCGAGACGCUGCACUUUCUUUGUGACGUCACCGUUGGCGGCCAUGUUGGCCGAGGGACGCGCGCGCCACCUGACGUCGGCAAGGUACUGCCCGGCCGCCAUUUUGAUCGCGGACGCGCCGCAGGAGCUGCUGGUUCCAUGAGACGUCGAUAAAGACGGAAUAAAGUGAGUGGGGCAGGGCGGCGGCGGUGCGCUUCCGGCCAUCGUCUGUCGUAGGGGCCUGGCGACCCCUCCCCGGACCCGAGCCGCAGGUGUUUACCUUUCUCUAGUCAUGGUCGACGUAAGAGGCUAGCGUUCUAGCACAGUACUAGGACAGUUUCGUUUACGAAUUCCGAAAAAAGCACCUUCGAUAUACUGCCGAUGGUAUCGUUAUUUCAAAGGCUAUGAAAUACCGUAUUAAGAAUGCCAUGACAAAAUGGUACGAGUUACAAUGAGACAAACCUCAGGGAUCCCCACUCCUUGUGAUGGCAAUAAAACAUCCCUCACUACACUUAGAAUGCACGAUGGUGAUGGGGAGUGUGCUGUGCUGCUGUCAAAACGUGUCCUAACGCCUCUGUUAAUGUUGGUAUGAUCUGUGCACUGAAGCAUUGCCUUUUGUAAUUGACGUUUCACGUUUCGGAAAGUAGACUUGCCAGUGACGUGAAUUUAAGCUCUUGAGUUUGGCUCUGUUGAUGGUCAGGUGCUUUGGUUGCCAAGUAGUGGCCUGUUGUGCUGUGCUGUGCUGUCCCGGUGCGCGCGUGGUUGGAUGUGCUAUCCACAGCUGGUGUCAGCCGAGGUUGUUAGCGUCCUGCACGCUGCGCGGCAUCGUCCGCCCGCUCACCCUGAGUGUCGGACUCCCGCACACCUCCGCGCACUGGCCAAGAUGGGCGCGAGAACGGCCUAACAGCUGCUCCUGGCAAGCACUGGUGUCCCGGCUAACUACCACUCAAGUCUCCCGGCACUGGCGUCUCGCAUGAGGCCCCUGGCGAGUCGCGUCCCGGGCUCCGCCGAUCUGUGAGUGAUGCAGCAUUGACGCUGGUGGUCCCGCCGCUGUUGCUACCGCUAUCGCGUGUGCCUGAAAGGGAUCCUGUGGAAUUUUUCCUAUGACUGGUUCUGACAGAACUCGGGCUGUGUCUGGCUUUUGUUCCUAACCGUAGACACGCUGAUUAGAUUGUACAUUUGUGUAGUGAGUUAUGCGAUAGGUUCUGCUGUUCGUGGCUCGCUGUUUGUGCCUUGAUGGUCUCGCCCUUUUCGAUCCCUGGGGUUACACCACACACUGCGUUUCGACAUUUUGCACGCGUAGCGCCCUCCCCCGGUGGCAGUAACACUGCUUGCAGAAGGCGGUGGCAGAGAGUCAGCCGUUCCUGUUGCGCGGGUCACCUUUCGGGACAUCAGGACCGUUCCUGUGCGACUCCACGACGGGGAGUGCGCUCACCCGGCGGCCCGGCCUAUCACCGACCUGGUGGCAAACCUCGACCCGGUGGCCGCGGACGCGAUCGGCGCAUCUGCCGUGACACCCAGCCCGGUCAAGAGGCAGCCCGCGGACCCGGUGCGGCCGACCCGCGACCCGGUGGUCACCGUCAGCAGUGCGUCAUCGUACACGGUAACUGCCGCUCGCGGCAGCUUCACCUCAGACUCUAUCCUAUCAGUAGUUAGCCGAAACACGCUACAAACACUUCUUCUAGCAACGAAAUACGUAGACUGAACUGUCCGACGAAAGACGCACGAUUCAAUUGUUGAUCACCUAAGAGGAUGGGACCGUUUCGGUGCACGACUUGCGCGCAUUCCGUUGCAGACAGCGUUUCGAGAGACCGGACGUCACGAGUGAAAGAGCCGUCACGCUUGCGAAGCAGCCGGGACGCAACCACUCAGAAGGUCCAUGCAGACUUUGCAGAACAGUUAGUGGCCAAGGUGUAUCAUGAUCUGCCGCGCGCCGUGUCCUGAGGGGUGUGCUGGAGUCGGAACGGGCUUUGCAGCCGGCUGGCCACCGGUCUGUUGUGCUCCGUUUCGGCUGCGGCGCAUGUCUCAGGCUGGCCGUCGGAAAACGCUUCCAUUAUGGUUGUCUUCCCAUGCCAUGUGCACCGCACACCGAAUCUCUUUUUCCCACAGACCAAAGUCAACAGACGAGCGGAAUCACGAAAAAGUGAGUUCACGACUAGGUACGAACUUCCUAGUAGUACCUGAGGUAGGAAAUCGAACGUCAGAACAGUAGCAAACGAUAGCGGAAUGACAACAAUAUUCGGGAAAAUAAUAUUCCAAGCGUCAUGCGCCGUGCUCAGUUCCACACGAUUUCUCUUUUGUUUGUUGAAAUAAAUCGAGGCUGUUCCAUGGCGGUCGAUGUGUGGGUGUGCGGAGCGACUCUGUUCCAGGAUCAUGGUCUCGUCCUGUUCGACUCCAGACUGUGGUACUCGUUCCCUCCGCCGAGAGCCAAUACAAGGAUAUCGUGGUACAUUUGUCGGACGUUUUCUCCGCGUUUUGAGGACUGGAUAGAGGUGAGGUUGUGUCGAGAGGUUUCAUGGAGAGGGUUAUUCUGAGUCGUCUGAGGAAAUAAAGGGGGCAACGUGCAUUAUCCUAUCAGAGGACACUACGCACGGUGAAAGUUUAUCAAUUAUCAGAAAUGAUGUAAAGUAACGAACUCAAAAACGGUUGUUAAAGCACAUGUAGUGGUAGAUGUGUGUGGCAGGUAGGCAGACUUUGUAUUUGCAGGACGAGGGACCAGGGAGGCGAAUGGCGACUGGGAAUAGAGCAUGAAUGAGCCGAGCCUUCAGUACAUACCACAGUAAGUUCCAUGCUGCACUUAGUUCCUAAUGAGACUGUUCUUUUCGGCCAUCAUAUUCGUCCAUUGUGCAGAGGCCAUUGCUUCGCUCCAUCCACUAUUCUGAAUAGAUGUUAAUUUGCCUAUCAACGCGAUAAGGUUGUGGUCAAAUCACUGCCGCAGAUACUAGAGCAAAGGGGAAAGUUAUUCUGUCUAGAUGCUGCAUAUGAUCAUUAUUAUUUAGUGUUAUUUUUUUCCUUUUCUUUUUGAGGGGUUAGGUUUUCCCGUUCAAUCCGGGUGGUUCGUUGGGGAGGCGCUCGGCAUAUGCGUCUGUUUCAGAUCGUGUCCGAUAGAACAUCCGCUGAGCAGUCGGCUGGCCGCCAACACUGGUACAUGAAGGGGAACAAGGUGAUGCAGGACGCGUCACGUGAGUUAGCCCGGCAGUGUGAUCAAUCACUGAGACUGACACAUUAAUUUGCUUCGAUACUAUCAAACAUUCCAAAAGCCCAUCAAGUAAUCUUGAUACGAAAUCAGUCAUGUCAUUCCGUUUGUGGGAGUUCAUUGAUGUUGGUACCUACAUGAGAUAAGUGAGAUGGCUCCAACCCUCACAGAAACUGCUACAACCAUGAGGGUUAAGCAGUAGGCAUUCGUACUGUGGAUGGAAUAUUUUUGCCUUGAUAUGAAAACCCGCAGGACUAAAGUUUGUUAGGUGGACUGGAGGCCACAUUAGCCCAUUUUUGCAUUACUUUUUAAUCAUCUUUCGAUGAUUUGGGGGAGUUAGCGUGGGUUGGGGGAGGGUGGGGGAGAUAACCAUGUUUUAGCCCUUCACAGAUUUUUAUUAGAGCGAGCCAAUUGUACGAAUAUCGCACGGGAGUCUGGCUAAGCAUCCAGGAGAACAUACGUGAGUUUAACAUCCAGAGUAAUCGCAACCUCCACCGUUGCUAUUUAUCGCUUAUUGCCAUUGCAUGAAAAUAUCAAACUAUAGGUACCUUUGAUCUGAUCGUCAUAUGUGAGACAUUUUCAUACAUGAAAGACGAGUUGUGUUGGUUCUUCGCAUUGUGCUGCCAUGUACCUAACGUCAGGUCUUCAUGCGUGAUUCCUCGAGAUCAUUCGCUCCACAUGGAAAAAAGUCUGCUCGUUGCGUCCUCCCUAUUGCCAAAGACGUCAUGAAACCCAUAAGUUCGUCGAUAGGUAAGCAAUAGGACGAGUCCGAAAUUUUUGUUUCCCGGAUUUUCUUUGUCCUGGUCAAAGUGUUGUAUACCAACUUUUCCUUUUUUGAGAAGCUGCACAGCAGAGACGUUGUGGUGCUAUGUAGAUUGCUCUAUACACUAAUCUGUUCUAUGAUUGCACUAAUAAGUGGGGUCUAUCUGAGUGGUAUUGAGUUUAGUGCUUGUGCUGCUGUGCUAAUGUGCGGACAGUGCGUGUGCUUACAUCCACGUUUCAAUUAGUGGUCUCUUGAAUGAUACAAGUGAUUGAAACCUUGUGGUGUGCUGGGUCCAAUGCUGUCAGUUCGUUCAAUUCAGCAUCCAGGCAUUGCCGUCCACUAGCUUAUUGUGCUCUUCUGUACUGCACGUAAAUGGUAGACCUAAUCCAGUUCAGCAUUAAGCAUGUACACAUAGCCUAUUAGGUAAGUGGCAUUUUGUAAAGCAUGCGAUUAGCUUGUACUGAUAGGAGUUAUCGUGGUGCAGCUCACAGAGUAUCUCUUACGAAAGGUUCAGCGACAAUGUAUGUACCUACCUAUCUGCGGCGUAUGUGGUGUGCUGUUUUUCCACAGGGUUCUUUGUCCACCCUCGAGUGCCCGAGAUUGUACCCCGUAACUGCCACAGCUGAUGCCAUCUAUGCUGUCCAACCCAGUGGACGUCCGCUAACCCCGGGAGAAAGGCCAGUUGUCUCCAGGCAUUUCAAUGCAUAAAACAUUUUAGUUGCUUAUUACUUCACACUCGGUGGCAGUGCUACCCCAGACAUUUUGCUAUUAUCGGCACCAUGCUCAGUAAUAUGUGCUUAAGUAGGCUGUGUCAACAGUUCGCUAGACUAUGCACAUGUAUCAAAUAGCAUGAUCCUUGCAUGGUCCUGACGGCAUACAUCGUCCUUUUUUAAGAAUAAGGAGGCUUCUGCGGAAGCAUACGUAACUAUUGUGCGCAAUGAAUGGGUUUGCAAAUGUUUAAACCUCAGUACCUAUUGUUUUCUUUUUUAGCCUACUCUAUUCUGCGCGAUUCACAAAAACAAAUGAGGUCUCACUUAGACAGAUAGCAUUAAUGUAUUAUUACAUUUGGCUUUUAGGGGUAUGAAGAUGUAGCAGCGCGGCCGUAUGUGGUGUGGAGACGUUAUUUCCCCAGGUUGCCUUUACUUUUCCUGGUGCGGCUUUCCUGAGAGCUUCAGCGACAUCCAGACACCAAGUCCACCCUCUCAGCCGGUGCUACAAGUAUCGGGUCGGCAGACGUCUGUUUCCCCAGCGGGCGCUUCAUCACGAGCUUGUCAUGCUUCUUCCCGGCGGGUGGCGCCACGUCCAGUUGUCCUCGGCUGAAAGUCCGGCGUGUCAUCGGCGACGCAGUGGACAGACGGUCUCCUACAGCCCACAGGGCUUCUCGGCGAACGACGCCGUCUUCCUGACGAGCCCCGGCCUGUCCGCCCGUCAAGGGCCUGUCGUCGGCGAGCAUCGUUCUGCCACUUCUCUUCCGAGGGACAUUCGUCACCGUGAGUUGGCCAUUGGCCGAAACUGGGAAAUUAACAAAUUUUAUAUGCAAACAAAUUACAUCAAUAUCUUGAUGGUGAGACUAAUAAACAGGGCUUGCGUACCAUUAGAUGUUUCGUUCAUACCUGCAAUCAAUACCAUGUUUCAUCUUUUAGAAGAUUAAUGACGUCUUCCGUGAAGUUAAUGUCUAAAAUGAGGGCAAUAGGAAUGUAGGCUGUUUUCGUGGUUGCAGUCGAUCCGUUUCAGCGUGUUACCUGUGAGAGGUGCGUCGGAGACCGAGGCAGUUCAGGGAGAUAUUACUAUAUGCGGUACCUGAUAACAGCCCGGAGACUUGUACAGGCAAGUGAUACGAAGUCGUUGCGGUAUGUUUCUUUCUUAUUAUUACGAAGACAAUGUUACAUUCAGUUGCAUGCACUCCAAAUCGAAAACAUGAACGCAGGUCAAUGAUUCUAUAACCAUCAUUUUCAAAGAUAUUGCUCAUCGCUCAUAGCAGCUGGGAAAAGAAAACUUUCCUUUGUAUCGAUUUUUUUUUGCCGCUGGGCGCAGUUCGCGGUGUGUUGUGUGAGUUCGUUGACGUUAAUUCGCAGGUGAUACACCAUUAUAUGAUUGGGCAUAAGCGAAGCACUGGACAGCACGGGUAUUGCUGAAAUGACACGGUAUGACUCGUAAGGUUCACUUAUGUGUGUAUAACACCAUUUGUUCUUAAAAACUAAUCAGCCAUAGGUAAAUCUCAUUGUUCAGGUUGAAAUCGUGCAUAAUCGUGGUAUAUGACCAAAUGGAAAGAAAUUAUGGGAUGGACAAGGAUACUUAGCGUGAGGAUGCAAUGUAUAGAAUUAGACACCCAGCAAUGUUUUCUUCGAAAUUAGGCAAAAUCACAGAAGCUAUAUACCUAAUGGUCUAGCACAAUGCUGAUAAAGUUAGGUACAUGACAAUAUUUCAAUGCUCAGGGGCAGCAUUUGCUUCUUAAGUGACCAAGUGCCUAUACUGAAUGUUCAAACAUAAGCUGCAAAGGAAUAGACAUCCAAGUGGCGUAGGUUCUGUAUUUGAAUGACUUUUGUCAGUACUGUGAUUGUAAAACAUCGUACGUGAGAUGCCUUGCUGUUGUCUUGUGUGGUGUGGAGAAUUUGCUCCCCAGGUUGCUGUAACCUUUCCUGGUGCGGCGUGUUCGCGCGGCAUCCCUGAGAGCCUCAGAGCAACCGCCUCGGCCGCCAUCCAAACACCAAGUCCACCCUCUCAGCCGGUGCUACAAGUAUCGGAUCGGCAAACGUCUGUUUCCCCAGCAGGCGCUCCAUCACGAGCUUGUCAUGCUUCUUCCCGGCGGGUGGCACCACGUCCAGUUGUCCUCGGCUGAAAGUCCGGCGUGCCAUGGGCGACGCAGUGGACAGACGGUCUCGUACAGCCCACAGGGCUUCUCGGCGAACGACGCCGUCUUCCUGACGAGCCGCGGCCUGUCCGUCCGUCAAGGGUCUGUCGUCGGCGAGCAUCGUUCUGCCACUUCUCUUCCGAGGGACAUUCGUCACCGGAGUUGGCCAUUGGCCGAAACUGGGAAAUUAACAAAUUUUAUAUGCAAACAAAUUACAUCAAUAUCUUGAUGGUGAGACUAAUAAACAGGGCUUGCGUACCAUUAGAUGUUUCGUUCAUACCUGCAAUCAAUACCAUGUUUCAUCUUUUAGAAGAUUAAUGACAUCUUCCGUGAAGUUAAUGUCUAAAAUGAGGGCAAUAGGAAUGUAGGCUGUUUUCGUGGUUGCUGUCGAUCCGUUUCAGCGUGUUACCUGUGAGAGGUGCGCAGGAGACCGAGGCAGUUCGGGGAGAUAUUACUAUAUGCGGUACAUGAAAACAACCGGGAUACUUGUACAGGCAAGUGACACGAAGCAAGGGUAUUGCUGAAACGACACGGUAUGGCUCUUUCGGUUCGAUUAUUAUGUGUGCAUGAUACCAUUUCUUCUCAAGAACUAAUCAGCCGUAAAUCUUAAUGUUAAGGUUGAAAUCGUGGUAAACAAAAUGUUAACACAUUGCUAGAUGGACAAGGGAACUAAACGAUGAGGAGGCAAUGUAUAUGAGUAUAUGAGACACCCAGCAAUGUUUUCUUCGAUAUUUGACGAAGUCAGGAAAGUAAAACAAUGGUCGAGCAUAAUGCCGAUACAGUUACAUGAGAAUUUCCGAAUAGUCAGGGACCAAUAUUCUCAUAUACAUAUAAGCUGCAAAGGAAUAGAUAUCCAAGUGGUGUAGGUACUCUUUGAAUCACUUGCCAGACCUGUGACUGGACAAUCGUACGUGAGAUGUCUCGCUGUUGUCUUGUGUGGUGUGGAAACUUUGCUCCCCAGACUGCUGUAGCUUUUCCUGGUGCGGCGCGUUCGUGCGUUGUUCCUGAGAGCCUCAGCGCAGCCGCCUCGGCGGCCAUCCAAACACCAAGUCCACCCUCUCAGCCGGUGCUACAAGUAUCGGGUCGGCAGACGUCUGUUUCCCCAGCAGGCGUUCCAUCACGAGCUUGUCAUGCUUCUUCCCGGCGGGUGGCGCCACGUCCAGUUGUCCUCGGCUGAAAGUCCGGCGUGCCAUCGGCGACGCAGUGGACAGACGGUCUCCUACAGCCCACAGGGCUUCUCGGCGAACGACGCCGUCUUCCUGACGAGCCCCGGCCUGUCCGCCCGUCAAGGGCCUGUCGUCGGCGAGCAUCGUUCUGCCACUUAUCUCUUCCGAGGGACAUUUGUAACCGUGAGUUGGCCAUUGGCCGAAACUGGGAAAUUGACAAAUUUUAUAUGUAAACAAAUUACAUCAAUAUCUUGAUGGUGGCAGACUGAUAAUCUGAGCUUGCGUACCAUUAGAGGUUUCGUUCAUAACUGCAAUCAAUACUAUGUUUCAUCUUUUAGAAGAUUAAUGACAUCUUCCGUGAAGUUAAUGUCUAACUAAAAUGAGGGCAAUAGGCAGUAGGCUGUUUUCGUGGUUGUUGUCGAUUCGUUUCAGCGUGUUACCUGUAAAGGCGCCGGAGACCGAGGCAAUUCAGGGAGAUACCUAGUACGAAAUGUGGUGCCUGGCGGGAAUCAGGAUACUUGUACAGGCAAGUUACAGGCUGUUACCGCCACCUUCGUUUUUUCGGAUGGAACGUUCUGACUUACCUUCAGUGUUGGUUAAUGACGAGUUACUUUUAACGAUGUGUGAAUUGAUAUUAUCGAACUUGCUAUGGAACUUUUAUGAUGGAGAAGGGAAUAUGUACUUCUUGAUAAUCUGCGAAAAACAUCGAUCUAUUUUUAUUCCAUUUGUAGUUGCACAUCCAUUUGUGUCGUAUGGUCGUUGACACUAUUUCUCAGGUGAUACACGAUGAUGGGGCAUGAAACAGGCGCUGGACAACACGGGUAUCGCUUAAAUGACACGGUAUGGUUCCUACGGUUCUCUCAUGCGUACAAUUUAUUCCCGAUUGAGAAUUAACCGGCAAUGAGCUUGAACAUUAAUUGGCCAGAAAAUGAUAACAAAUAUAUGGAUGUACCAUGCGUUAUAAACAAUGAGCAGUCAAAGAUGCUAAACAAAAACUGAACAGAAGUAAUAUGUGUGAUGGAUGAACACCAAGCAUCACUAAUAUAAUUAAAACAGGAGAAUUUCCAAAUACUUCGAAUGAGCAUCUGCCCGUGCAUGGCAACAUAUCCCCAGUAUUGUUUCAGUUAAACCUCAAGUACUUUUUCAAAGAAAACGACAUGUCACGGUUAUGUUCUGUGCUGAAUUAAACUUGUCAGUGAUCUGAUUGUCAACUAUCUUAGGUUAGGCGCCUCGCUGUUGUCUUGUGUGGUGUGGAGACUCUGCUCCCCAGGUUGCUGUAACCUUUCCUGGUGCGGCGUGUUCGCGCGGCAUCCCUGAAAGCCUCAGCGCAGCCGCCUCGGCCGCCAUCCAAACACCAAGUCUGCCCUCUCAGCCGGUGCUACAAGUAUCGGGUCGGCAGACGUCUGUUUCCCCAGCAGGCGCUCCAUCACGAGCUUGUCAUGCUUCUUCCCGGCGGGUGGCGCCACGUCCAGUUGUCCUCGGCUGAAAGUACGGCGUGCCAUCGGCGACGCAGUGGACGGACGGUUUCCUACAGCCCACAGGGCUUCUCGGCGAACGACGCCGUCUUCCUGACGAGCCCCGGCCUGUCCGCCCGUCAAGGGCCUGUCGUCGGCGAGCAUCGUUCUGCCACCAAGCUCCUCCGAGGGACAUUUGUAACCGUGAGUUGGCCCUUGGCCGAACUUGACUUAAUGCAACCUUAUCACUGGCUAUCUCGAGACCAUGUAACUGAGAAAUGCCUAGGAUGAUUAUUUGCUGAGUGGAACCAUCAAAACAGAUUAUCACGCACUGUUCAUGCGCGACAGCCCAUUUCAGCGUACUAGCCGUUAGGUAUGUCCCAAUUUCCUUUUUGUUUUAGAAGCUUUGAACUCAGCUUACGAACCGUCUUAGGAUGUCGCAGCAUGUGGUGUGGUGUAGUGUGUGUAUACAUCCCUCCCCCAGGCUACUUUGAUGUUUUUGUGCGGCGUGUUCGUGUGGCGUUCCCGUUCUGCCACUUCUCUUCCGAGGGACAUUUAUAACCGUGAGUUGGCCCUUGGCCGAACUUGACUUAAUGCAACCGUAUCACUGGCUAUCUGGAGACCAUGUAACUGAGAAAUGCCUAUGAUUAUUUGCUGACUGGAACCAUCAAAACAUAUUAUGACGCACUGUUCAUGCGCGACAGCCCAUUUAAGCGUACUAGCCGUAAGGUAUGUCCCAAUUUCCUUUUUGUUUUAAAAGCUUUGAACUCAACUUACGAACCGUCUUGGAUGUCGCAACAUGUAGUGUGGUGUAGUGUGUGUAUACAUCCCUACCCCAGGCUACUUUGAUGUUUUUGUGCGGCGUGUUCGUGUGGCGUUCCUGAGAACCUCAGCGCAGCCGCCUCGGCCACCAUCCAGACACCAAGUCCACCCUCUCAGCCGGUGCUACAAGUAUCGGGUCGGCAGACGUCUGUUUCCCCAGCAGGCGCUCCAUCACGAGCUUGUCAUGCUUCUUCCCGGCGGGUGGCACCACGUCCAGUUGUCCUCGGCUGAAAGUCCGGCGUGCCAUCGGCGACGCAGUGGACGGACGGUCUCCUACAGCCCACAGGGCUUCUCGGCAAACGACGCCGUCUUCCUGACGAGCCGCGGCCUGUCCGCCCGUCAAGGGUCUGUCGUCGGUAACCCACAUGGUACUUAUAUAAGAAAUAUCUUUUCUGAGUUGUUCAAUGAGUGAAGCUGGAAUUAGAGAAGUUUAGUCAAGAUAUUUUUCACUCUUUCUGCGGUAGUAUGGUAUCUAAUAUGCUACAUUAUUUGGCAACUACAUAGUUUGUAAUAAGUUGCAGAGACUGAGUGGUUUCUUGCACAGUCACGGGCUAAGAAGUCUGGGGUCUGGAGUAGGAGGCGAUUCUGAAUGAAAUCCGAACUUGAUAGGCUGGUAGGGCGGUACGUUAAAUCACUUAAAAGGGCACUUUUUAAACUGAUGCAAAAGCAGUGAUUAAAUUAAGCUGGAUUGGGCCACAAUGUGCUGAGAAACGACUGUCUGAAUAGGCUGGGCGCUCGUAUAAUACAAAUCAUGAAGGAAUUUAGCAUGUGCUGAGUGGUAGUGAAAUGUGACAUUGCUAGUUUUACCUAUUGCAUACAGACUUGCGAUAACAAUGUUCUGAAUUCUGAUCAUCAAAUGAACGCACCAAUAUGGGUCAUUUAAUGACGAGAAUAGGAAUGUACUCUUUCUGGGUUCGUUUAAGGUAGUGUAGGCAACAUCUGUUGUUAUUUUUUCCAGAACCCUAUGGCGAAAGGCAGAUGCCAGAAUGAAUAACCUGAUCUCGAGAGCUGCGAGGGCACAAUCUGCCAGGAAACCUCAGAGUGAAAUGGGAAGACUCAAUCGAGGACCUCCGUGAGAUACCUGAAUUGCGUUAGCUAUUUGUAUCACAACAUUUUAUUAUUCAAAUUUCUCCAAGUUUUUGCAAUAUUCAUAGUUCAAUGUGCUGUAAAGAGUAUUCAGACAAAUGAAAAGGAAACAAAUAGAUACGUUUAGGAUGGGAUUGCUAUCGUAAAAUGGAAACUUGGUACAUAUACUAGCUGAAAAGCGUUUGUCUGUGUUGUGCGCAAAGAGAUGCUUCUCAGCGGCAGGCUAUGGUGAAAAGUUCGUCUCGUCGAGGAGUGUGCUAGGCGUUCCAUCAAGUGUCGGCGCUCGAUCCUCCAUAGAGAUUGUUCUUUUCUCGCCUCCUGGCCUCGUCUCCGCCGCAUCUCCGCCGCAAUCUGGCUUCCAAACAACACGGCUUCUGCUGCCCCAUAUGGAAUGCGACCAGAUACUCCAUCUUGGUAAGAUGCAGCACGACUGCACUUCAAUAUUUUUCCUACGGUCAACUUCUUCAGUUUUUAUUUUCGGGAUUUAAGAAGAGACUUGUAUAUAAUAUACCUGAAAUCCUCUACUUCGGAGCACAUCUUACUAUGUUGCGAAUGGUUAUGUUGAACAAAUCUGUUAUGUAUGUAGCUGUCCAUUAUUAGCGAAUGGCGACUUUCUGUAGCACAGAUCGUUGGGGUGUGUGGAUGGGGCGAUUCUGGUCCUUUUACAGUUGCCUCCAACAGACGUGGCGUCUCCAUAUGGUUUCACUGAGAGGCUGUGCACUUGUCAGCACCGAACGAUGAUCCAGAGAUACUACACUGCAGUAUCAUCAACCACAACACAUCUGGUAUCAGUUCCUCUAUGCCUAUGUGAUAAUGUAGUCGAAAACUGGAAACACAUUUUAACAGUCAUUGCAUGUAGUAUAGACCAUCUUCUAUGACGCUAUUGUGAUCAUUUGUACAAUAUCGUGUUACUAUUUAAUUCGUCAGGGUAGCUUAUUACGAAAGGCGUGUUACUUUUUAGUAUAUCAUGGUAGCAUAACUGCAUAUUUUCACACAUUUUCAAAGUCACAUUUUCUAUAUUGUCAGUCAUAUAUGCGUUCCUCGUGAUGUUUGAAUCAGAAUCACUAGGUGAGUAGGCGAGAGUAGGUGGGUGUGCAUGAUUUUUUUUAAUUUCAGAUAUUCGGAUAUGCCUUACUUAGAUCCAUGUCAAAGUUUUCGUGGCCGACUUCGUAGCAGUCGUCAAUUCACCGGCAAACAUCUAGUACUCGUAUAUGGCCUGGCCUGGAUAACCAUCAAGCUUCUGCAACUUUGCACGUAUCUACCCACUUGGUCCCUCAGCACUAAUUCAUGUCGUCUGGAGUGCGCACACUAGAAAGUAAGUUCGAAACGUAGUCAACGACACUGGCAAUACUGUAAACUUAUUUAAGCGUUGUGCGGUGAAAUUCUGGGGAAUUAGUAUGUUUUAAACGUCAUCGGAUACCCAUAUUUCAUUCCAUGAGUGUGAAUGCAUUUAAACAAAAAACAUCCUAUUAAAUUGGCAAAAAUAAUGGUUCUUUUUCAAGGAAACUCGUCAAUAAUCGUUUUGUUAUGCUGUCGUAUGUUUGGACUAUAACCAAUCACAGGGACUCUGGAGCAUCCUUCCUGGGUGUACAUCCACGCAGGGACGUGGUGAGAUGGGUUCGCCUCGGCCUACCACGAGCACGUAUGUCCCUCUGCUUAUGGUAAGGUGUGUCGUUUCGGUUUAAGGUUCGUCUUGUUAGUCGGUUGCCGUAAGUCCGUCAACAGAUUUUCCCCUAGGAGUGCUGGCGAUUGUUGUGAAAUUGGCCCCCGAAAUGUCCAGUGAUUUUCCCCUAGGAGUGCUGGCGAUUGUUGUGAAAUUGACCCCCGGAAUGCCCAAUGUUUGCGUUGGCUUCCAAUAAUCUGUUUCUGGUUUAAUAGGUUUUCUCUUCGAUGUCCAACUCCCCCAAUACGUACUCGGCAUUAUUUUAUUUGGCGUUAGGCAUGUGUUUGGCGCAAGUUUGUUUGCUUCCAUUCCAGUCUCAGCAUCGUGGCAGCUCGAGAUGUUCUCUCCACGCUUCAUUCCACUAUGCAACUACGCAGCAGUUAAUUUGUCUUGGAGUACACAAGGAUCGGACACAACUUCUCUCACCUACCAGAUUUAACACGACACCCGGCACGAACCAGACAGCUGUUGCAGUUCACCCGCCUACCCUGUACGCAUUCUGAUCGACACAUCGAGAACCCUUCCAUCUGCGAGAGAUGCUCACCCCUGCUUCACAAUCACCAUGGCGAACAACCUGCCACCCACGCACUCCCGGUCUGCACGACACCGGUCCUGCACCGUACCACGACGUCGCAGCUCUUCAAGGUCACUGACUUGAAGAAGCACCAUGCCAUGAUGACACCUUUGAAAACUCGCCCCUGCCGGAACGUAACUUCCCACUGAUCUCUUCAGGAUGAUCCUGUCUCAGCAGUACAUCCGGCUAUCAUGACGUUUCUUUCCGCCAGAAUCAUCUUCCGUUCGAGACCGAAUUUCAACUUCAUCCCUCAGCUGAUCUCUUCAUAGAUGCUGACCUGAACAAAGACCCGUCCCGUCAAACUGAUGUGCGUCUUCCCAGGACCAUCUUCCGGACUGUUUCCAGCAUCAUCAGAAUCUCCAGCACCACCAGCUAUGACCGCAGUUUCCAGAAUCAUGGAUCUAUCGGACCAUCCCGUCCUGCCCUCUUCCCAGGACCAUCUUCCGGAUAAUCUCCAGCAUCAUAAGAAUCUCCAGCAUCACCAGCCAUGACCGCAGUUUCCAGAAUCAUGGAUCUAUCGGACCAUCCCGUCCUGCCCUCUCCCCGGGACCAUCUUCCGGACAAUCUCAGGCAUCAUCAGAAUCUCCAGAAUCACCAGUCAAGACCGCAGUUUCCAGAUUAAUGGAUCUACCGGACCAUCCAGUCCUGCCUUCCGUAACAUCUCUCCAUAUCUCGACGUUUGACUCAACAACAUACAAUUCAGCUAGCAGAUUAACUCCUAAGUCAGAUGACCUACAGCCUUCAAUUAACUGAACUCAACGAACCUGCACGCUUAGAAUCGUACAUCUGAAGUGUCCCCGAUUCUCGCCUGUCGUCAAGCCGCUGAACUUCAAUGAUCCCACAUGUACCAUUCAACAACAGAAUCGCUAUCCAAGACAGCGUUGAUAAUGUUGUAAGAACAUCCACUAACAAGUUUCUAGCCCUAAGUUUAUAAAUGAUAUACAUGAUAACUGUAUAUGACAUGUGGCGUGUUCCCUAAUGUUCUCAAGAUUUCCAUGCUUCCGGGGACUCUGACCAAGACAAUAUUGUAAGGCUUGGGUGGGUCCUCAAGUGAGGAGGACGGAGUGAGUUGGAUGGGCUGCGGCACGUGGCGCGACCUCGUCAGAGAGGCGCUUGGUUGGGUCACUCCCUCCUCCUCACAAAAGGUGAGCACGGCGCUUAGGACCAUCAGAAGUCAGCAAGUGACCAUGCUCGAAGAUGACAUUCUGAUUACCAGAAUACCGUCUGGAAGAUCUUCGGCGACUUCCGUGAGAGUUCGUGAACUUAAUGUGAUAGUUCUGCGAACGGUCGCGUAGUUCCGAGCUUGUCUUUUCGAACGUACCAUGCGAUGCCAUCGCAUCGCAUGUAACCGUCGAAGCUCGUUUGGAAACACCUGAAGGCUCCUGGGACCUUGGCAGCAGCGAUUCAAGGGAGAUGCUUAGUAGAAUGUUUGAAAUAAAAUGCCGAAUCGCC